UCCUACGGGAGGCAGCAGUGGGGAAUUUUGGACAAUGGGCGCAAGCCUGAUCCAGCAAUGCCGCGUGAGUGAAGAAGGCCUUCGGGUUGUAAAGCUCUUUGGACGGGGACGAUGAUGACGGUACCCGCAGAACAAGCCCCGGCUAACUUCGUGCCAGCAGCCGCGGUA
rnacentral:rRNA from 1 species